rnacentral:rRNA from 1 species
AACGAACGCUGGCGGCAGGCCUAACACAUGCAAGUCGAGCGAGGACUUCGGUUCUAGCGGCGGACGGGUGAGUAACGCGUGGGAAUGUGCCCUUCUCUACGGAAUAGCCCUGGGAAACUGGGAGUAAUACCGUAUACGCCCUAUCGGGGAAAGAUUUAUCGCAGAAGGAUCAGACCGCGUUGGAUUAGGUAGUUGGUGGGGUAAUGGCCUACCAAACCGACGAUCCAUAGCUGGAUUGAGAGGAUGAUUCGCCACACUGGGACUGAGACACGGCCCAGACUUCUCCGGGAGGCUGAAGUCGGGAAUCUUACACAACGGGGUCAACCCGGAGCUAGCCAUGCCGCGUGAGUGAUGUAGGCCUUAGGGUCGUAAAUCUCUAUCAGACGGGAAGAUAAUGACGGUACUAGCAGAAGAAGGCCCGGCUAACUCCGUG